ACAGAUAACUAGUCUAACAUAAGACAACUAAUUUCGACUUAGUUAAUCGUGAUUAAACUUCACGGCUAUCAA
rnacentral:tRNA from 1 species